rnacentral:misc_RNA from 1 species
UAAAUUCUCCCUUCUAAUGUAUUUAGAUGUGUAAAGCAACAGUGUGUUAGUGUUUUGCUAUACCUGAAAUGUAAAUUAGUAUUUUUCUAUCCCCAAACUGGAAAAUAUUAAAGAGUGGUAGUCAGUAUAAACAACAAAGCCAAGCAGUAAACUUGUGAGUUUGUUCAUAUUUUUUUGUGUAAUUUUUCGUGAAAACGAAGGCUUCCAGAGAAAUGAGAAAAUCUCUUAACAUACGUAAGUCGAGAACAAAAAAGCGCAAAAAUGUUUUUAAUCCAAAAACAGCUGAAACGGAUGAAAGUAGUUUCAGUGCUUCGGCGAAAAAAUUUAAAGAACAAGAGGAAAUCUCAGUUCCACGUGAUCCGUCUAUUGAGUAUCGCAUUUUAAAUUUUAUUACAGUAUUUGCAGCAAUUUCUGAAUAUGUGAAAUGUAAGAUCUGUGACGGAAAUGUCAAGUUUCAAACUGCUUCUGAACGAGGACUUGGUUUUAAAAUUGUUUUGCUGUGUGAUAAGUGUGCAGAUCGUAACAUAAAUUCUAGUCCUUUUGUCGCGCAUUCUUAUGAAAUAAAUCGACGAUUUUUAUUUGUCAUGAGAGUCCUCGGAUUAGGGUUAAAAGGUGCAGCAAAAUUUUGUGGAUUAAUGGACAUGCGAGCCUUUAUAUCACAGCCCACUUACGAUUUGAUAAUAGAUAAUAUUCACUCCAGUAUAAAAACAGCCACCGAAAAACUUUUUCAACAGGCUUGUACUGAAGAAAAACAUUUGACUUCCGAACAUCAAGGCAAUGAAGAUUCGACAGAAUUAACUGUAUCUGGCGAUGGUACAUGGAAAAAGCGAGGGUUUAGUUCCUUGUACGGUGUGACAUCAUUGAUCGGAUACUAUUCUGAUAAAAUCAUAGAUAUUGUUGUGAAAAGUUCCUACUGCAAACAGUGUGAAACUUGGAAGAAGAAACUCAGUACCGAAGAAUAUAAGGAAUGAUAUGCAGAACAUGAAGAUACUUGCACUGCAAAUCAUUCUGGUUCUUCUGGGAAAAUGGAAGUUGAUUCAGUCAUCGAAAUGUUCCAACGUUCAUUGAAAAAACUUGGAGUCAUGUACAAAAAUUACAUAGGAGACGGUGACUCCAAAACGUACUCAGGAAUUUUAAAGGCUGCACCUUAUGGUGAUCAAGAAGUUGUAUGUGUAGGUGGUUUUAACCAAAACAACAACGAGAGCUACAAUCAACUGAUUUGGAAAAUCUCUCCCAAAAUUGUUCCAGCCGGUUCGAAAACUGUGUAAAUUGCUACUUACAUAGCUGCUGGCAUAUUUAAUGAAGGAAUGGCAUCACUAUUGUAUUAUAUGAAUGCAAUAGGAAUUACACUUGGGCCCAAUGCGCAUUCAUAUGCCGAAAAAGAAGAUGAGAAGCGCGUGAGCAUUUCCGAUCUCAGAGCGCGUGAGAGCACCCGAGAUGGAAGAAUGGCUCGCAGACAACAUCAGCUUGAGUUAUUAGAAGCUGCUGAAUCGGUGGAGGGUGUAUUAUAUGGUCCUGGAAUAGACAACUCCAUAUGAUCCAGUUCCGAGAUAUAGUGGUCACCGCAAAACGUCUUUUUUGAGAGGAGCUCCUGGAGAUCAGCUGUAGCUCUUUUUCAAAUAAAUAUUUUUACUAGUACUAAGUCUUAAAAUACAGUUAAAAGAUACCAUAAUAUGUGUAUAAAUUUUUGGAUCUAUAAAUUUAAAAGUUUUCUCAGAAAAAAUUCUGGAAAAUUCACUUUUUUUCGGCCGUCUAACUGUAUAUAACCCCUUUCAAAAGAAUUUUAUUAAGAUCCAUA